rnacentral:rRNA from 1 species
AUUGAACGCUGGCGGCAGGCCUAACACAUGCAAGUCGAACGGUAACAGGAAGAAGCUUGCUUCUUUGCUGACGAGUGGCGGACGGGUGAGUAAUGUCUGGGAAACUGCCUGAUGGAGGGGGAUAACUACUGGAAACGGUAGCUAAUACCGCAUAACGUCGCAAGACCAAAGAGGGGGACCUUCGGGCCUCUUGCCAUCGGAUGUGCCCAGAUGGGAUUAGCUAGUAGGUGGGGUAACGGCUCACCUAGGCGACGAUCCCUAGCUGGUCUGAGAGGAUGACCAGCCACACUGGAACUGAGACACGGUCCAGACUCCUACGGGAGGCAGCAGUGGGGAAUAUUGCACAAUGGGCGCAAGCCUGAUGCAGCCAUGCCGCGUGUAUGAAGAAGGCCUUCGGGUUGUAAAGUACUUUUCAGCGGGGAGGAAGGGAGUAAAGUUAAUACCUUUGCUCAUUGACGUUACCCGCAGAAGAAGCACCGGCUAACUCCGUGCCAGCAGCCGCGGUAAUACGGAGGGUGCAAGCGUUAAUCGGAAUUACUGGGCGUAAAGCGCACGCAGGCGGUUUGUUAAGUCAGAUGUGAAAUCCCCGGGCUCAACCUGGGAACUGCAUCUGAUACUGGCAAGCUUGAGUCUCGUAGAGGGGGGUAGAAUUCCAGGUGUAGCGGUGAAAUGCGUAGAGAUCUGGAGGAAUACCGGUGGCGAAGGCGGCCCCCUGGACGAAGACUGACGCUCAGGUGCGAAAGCGUGGGGAGCAAACAGGAUUAGAUACCCUGGUAGUCCACGCCGUAAACGAUGUCGACUUGGAGGUUGUGCCCUUGAGGCGUGGCUUCCGGAGCUAACGCGUUAAGUCGACCGCCUGGGGAGUACGGCCGCAAGGUUAAAACUCAAAUGAAUUGACGGGGGCCCGCACAAGCGGUGGAGCAUGUGGUUUAAUUCGAUGCAACGCGAAGAACCUUACCUGGUCUUGACAUCCACGGAAGUUUUCAGAGAUGAGAAUGUGCCUUCGGGAACCGUGAGACAGGUGCUGCAUGGCUGUCGUCAGCUCGUGUUGUGAAAUGUUGGGUUAAGUCCCGCAACGAGCGCAACCCUUAUCCUUUGUUGCCAGCGGUCCGGCCGGGAACUCAAAGGAGACUGCCAGUGAUAAACUGGAGGAAGGUGGGGAUGACGUCAAGUCAUCGUGGCCCUUACGACCAGGGCUACACACGUGCUACAAUGGCGCAUACAAAGAGAAGCGACCUCGCGAGAGCAAGCGGACCUCAUAAAGUGCGUCGUAGUCCGGAUUGGAGUCUGCAACUCGACUCCAUGAAGUCGGAAUCGCUAGUAAUCGUGGAUCAGAAUGCCACGGUGAAUACGUUCCCGGGCCU